rnacentral:rRNA from 1 species
GGGUGCGAUCAUACUAGCACUAAUGCAUCGGAUUCCAUUGAAACUCCGACGUUAAGCGUGCUUGGACGAUGUGUAGUAGUUU